UAAACAAAUUCACAAUAUACAAUACCGAGUACGAAAGGUAAUUGUAAUUGCCCAUAAAAUAAUUAUUAAUAGUCAUUACAUAAAUUUAAAUAUCCUAUAUUUAACCACAAAAUGUGUCAUGCACCUUAAUAUCUUAGUUACAAAUGUAUCCUAGACUUUUAGUACAAAUGGUGCAUAAACUAAACGAAAAAUGAGCUAUAGACUAGGAAAUUAUGAGGAACGAACUUCACCACUGCCAGCUCCAAUCACAAACAAAUCAAAGUCCUUGUGAAUCUCCUACUCACUAGCAAUGCCUAGCUUUCCAUAAAAAGCAUCUUCCUUGUCAUAAUGUUAUGCUAUACACAAACAAAAUCCACAGGCAAGCAAUAAGAGAUCAGCAUAUCAUAACAAGCACUUUCACAACCAAGAAAAUCAAAAAAAAUAAAACAAAGACCAGAUCAAAUGUAAAUCGAGAUAAACUAAUAGCACAAUUUUAUAAGAAAAAUGUUGUCGAUUUUGGGGGAAAGUAAAUAAGAACAACCAAUGUAAUAGUUUAAUCUUUCAUUUUUUUUUUAAUUUUAUCCAUGAUUGCUUAAACCCAGUAAAGAGGGAAAAAAAUAAGAUUACAACCAAUAUAAUAGUUUACUCUUUCCUUUUUUAUCAUAUGACCAGGUUGAUAGCUCUUCAUUAACAAUCCACCUGCACACAAGAAACACCUAUCUAAAGUUUGGCAUUCAUUUAAAAUUUGGAAAUUGCAUAAGCCGUUACGAAUGCAUACCUAUAAAAUCUAUUUUGUUGAUUCUGUUUUCUCCGUCUCUCCAUUUGCGAGUUGGAACAAUCUCGUAUAGUUCUCUCACGACCUGCCAUAGUCAAUAGACCAUAUCAG
rnacentral:lncRNA from 1 species